CGGAAGUUUUCGGAUGGAAGCGAUAUGUUUUAGCGGCGGACGGGUGAGUAACGCGUGAGCAACCUUUCCUUGACAGGGGGAUAACGUACCGAAAGGUACACUAAUACCGCAUAAGGCCACAGCACCGCAUGGUGCAGGGGUGAAAUGGAGCGAUCUGGUCAAGGGUGGGCUCGCGUCCGAUUAGCUAGUUGGUGAGGUGACGGCCCACCAAGGCGACGAUCGGUAGCCGACCUGAGAGGGUGAUCGGCCACAUUGGAACUGAGAUACGGUCCAAACUCC
rnacentral:rRNA from 1 species